GAAAGAGAGAAAUGUAUUAUCAUGCCACUUAAACCAUUAGCAUAUUUUUGUUUUGAUAAGGGCAGGUUAAAUUUCCCCUUUCAAUUGCUGGCUGUUACAGUACAAUUCAACAAUGAAUUGCAAUGCUAUCACAAAGUAUUGUACAUUUUUGCACAUCAGGGUCCUCCUUUUCUUAAUCGGUCAGGAUUUAGGAAGAUUAACAAUGAAAAGGACUUUUGCUUCUAAAUAUUUUGGCAUUUUUGAAAAUCUUAUCCUAAAUCCCACCCUCAGUCUGUUAAUGUAAAAAAAAAAAAACCCUCUCUCUCUAAAAUGUUUGAAUUAAUACAUUUUUACAGACAGAAGGGACUAUUAUGACAUGUAGUAUGACCCCUAGUCAUAUAACAAGAUUAAAAGAAAAUAAUAGAGCAAGACAGCCUCUUAUGUAAGAGUUCUUUCCCACGCAGGAGCUUCAAAACAGCAUAUGGGUGCACAUUUCAUUUAGAAUUUAGAUAGAAGACCAAUUGCUGUUAUGGAUAUCAAGAGAAAGUUAUUAUGGCUUGUGAUGGGGCAGCCCCGCCCCGCACUCAAGCCCAGGGAAACCACCUGGAGCCAGGGGUGGAGAGGGCCCCACCCACACAGCCCUACUGGGCAUGCUCCGAGGGGAGCCAAGUUAUAAAAGGCUGCUGGCCUGCUCAGAAGGGGCAGACUGCGACCUGAGCUGGAGCUAGCGACCACUGGCCAGAGAGGGAGUCGCCGGGGGAGCUGAGCGUGCUGCUGCCGGGCCUGCGCCGGGCUCGGCCCCAACGCCGGAGCUGCCGACCGACCACCCGCGACCCGAGUGCUGGACCGGACUCCGCCAACUCUGCGGCUGCCAGGGGGAGGGCCACUACAGCCCAUCGACCGACGCCGACAGGCCUGUGGUGAAUCAUGUAAAUCAUGUUGCGCUGGCAUGGAGACUCAGAGUUCGACAGGCUAACCGGAUAAGGUGGUUUGCAAUGGACUCAGCAUUCAAAGCAAGGGAUCCUACUGAAUUGGACAAUGGCACUGAAUAUAUUCAGCAUAAUUUUUGUGCAACAUACUGCCUUUGAAUACGCACCUUACAUUUUUUUUUGCCUUGCACACUAAAAAGAGAUAUUCACAGGAAGUUUACACAGAGACUUCCUGAUCUUUUUACUAGUAGCACCUAUAGACCCCAGGCAAGAUUGAUGUCCUAUUCUGAUUGGUACCAAGUGAACGUGGAGUAAAAGAGAAUCCUUUCCUUGAAGAGCUCACUACACACCAAGACAAGCCCAAUGAAUGUGUUAAUGUACAAUUUAAAAAAAAAAGAAUAAAUAAAAUGAUUUGGUCUAAAACACAUUCACAAAAGAGAAAAGAAAAUGGACUCAGCUCAAGAGUUACAACUCUUUUGACAGUUAAAAUUGACAAUACAGCGUGCAGUUAUAGGACAAACAGUCCCUUGCUUUAAGUUUCUUUUCCUAUGUGGAUUUGUUGUGGACAUUUAACACUAUUUCAGAAAUAUGUGAUUUUGAUAGUUUAGGCCCAAGAGGUUAAGAAAUCUUAAAAUGAUUAGAAUAUGGAGAACACAGAACACUUGGCAAUGAUUCAGUGAAGAAAAAGAAUUUAUGUUCUGGUCACUGUCAUAAAAUUAUUUGUAAGACAUGUUAGUUCAUGUUGGGCCUAUCAUAAAUAAAAAAUGA